rnacentral:tRNA from 1 species
GCGAGAGUGGCGGAAUUGGCAGACGCGCCAGCCUUAGGAGCUGGUGUCCUAGGACGUGGGGGUUCGAGUCCCCCCUCUCGCA